UCUAAUAUGUCAGUAACACAGACAGUGCCUUCAUUUCUAGCUAAUAUUACAUUAAUUUUACAUUAAUGACAAAGAUGAUUUAUGAGCAUUUCUAAUCUUGGAGAUGAGGUUGGGGGAUCCGUAUGAGAUGAAGAUGUUGUGAUAUAAAUACCUAUAGAGGACUAUUAUUUUGACCUGUCGAUGCAAUGUGCGACAAUAGAAAAAAAAAAAAAAACGGGGGGGGGGACAGGCGACAGAUUACACAGCUUUAAAACACAAUCAGUCUGAUUUUCACAACACUGCAGUUUUAAAGCUCAGUAACAUCAGCAGCAAUCAGAUCAUCCUCACAUCCAAACACACACCCAACCUGCAGUCAAGCACUUCUCUCUGUUUAUCAUCACAGGGAGCUUAACGUGUUCCAGCACCUGGCAAAAUGGGCUAUCUGAAACUAAUUGAGAUUGAAAAUUUCAAAUCUUAUAAAGGCCGACAAAUAAUCGGACCUUUCCGCAAAUUCACAGCUAUUAUCGGACCAAACGGCUCGGGGUGCUGUGGAAUCCAUAGCUAUGAAAAAUCCCAAAGAGAGAACGGCUCUGUUUGAGGAGAUCUCCCGCUCUGGGGAACUAGCUCAGGAGUAUGAUCGCAGGAAGAAAGAGAUGGUAAAGAUGGAAGAGGACGCCCAGUUCAAUUACCACCGUAAGAAGAACAUCGUGGCUGAACGCAAAGAGGCCAAGCAAGAGAAAGAGGCUGAGCGUUACCAGAGGCUGAAAGACAAGGUUGUUAGAGCUAAUGUGCAGUUACAGCUUUUCAAACUGUACCACAAUGAGUCUGAAAUUGAAGUGGACAGAGUCAGAUAGGCAAUAGAAUGUUACAUUGGCACCAUCCUCAAUUCAACAAAUACUGCUGGACGGCUAUACCACCUGAAUCACUACUCCAUAGGUGUGAUUUUACACAAAUCAAGAGAACAAAUGACCAGGCAAGGGUUAAGAAAUGUCACCUUUAAUGAUUAUGAUGGAGCCAUUGGAUUUGUCAAUAUAGCAAAUGUACACUGGAAGUUUGUGUAUCUUCAUGACCUUUCGAGCAAAUUUUUGUGGUUGACCCCAUGCAAGGGUCAAACGAAUUGGAGGACUCAGAAAAGGCCUGUUACAAAAUAGAGUAUUUCAAGAUGCGUAGAAACCGACUUGGAAAGGAGGACUGGGUGGACAUCAGAUGGAAGCCUGGAAAGAUUGUCCACACCUUUCAAAAAGAUACCACCAACUGUGGAGUCUUUGUAAUAGAGAUGGCCAAGAGGACAGUGAAAGAAUUCCCAAACAUUCCACAAAUGUUUGACAUUGACCCAUCAUAAGAAUCACUUAAGCAAAGAAGAGACGUGGCUGAAGUCAUUCUAAAAGGAUCAGUUCCAAACACAGAUUUCUGCUCCUUUUGUGGAAACAUGAACCUACCAAAAGCUGUGGCUGCUGUUUGGGUGAGAUUUACACUUCAGUUGUUUAAAACGGUACAGUAAACAUUGUAGUGGAUAAUCUGAAGGUUGAUGUUAUCUAUAGAUAAAUUUAAAGUAAUUAAAUAUUUCAAUACAUUUAUGCAUUACAGGAUUUUUAAAGCAAAUAUUUUAUAGAAAUAAUUUUCAUAUUUUCCCCCUUAUAUAUUCAGUGUGGAACAUGCACAAAAUGGUUCCACAUAAACUGCCUUAGGAUGACAGACGAGGAAAUACCGAGCGGGCAUAUCCCUUGGUAUUGUGCAUUGAGCUAAACCAAGUACAGUGACCCUAGCAUUUAAUGAUAUCUGUAAUAGGUCUUAAAUAAGAAGCAGGAUUACAUGUGUUUAAAGUGUACAUAAA